GAUGAACGCUGGCGGCGUGCCUAAUACAUGCAAGUCGAGCGAACAGACGAGGAGCUUGCUCCUUUGACGUUAGCGGCGGACGGGUGAGUAACACGUAGGUAACCUACCUAUAAGACUGGGAUAACUUCGGGAAACCGGAGCUAAUACCGGAUAAUAUUUUGAACCGCAUGGUUCGAUAGUGAAAGACGGCUUUGCUAUCACUUAUAGAUGGACCUGCGCCGUAUUAGCUAGUUGGUAAGGUAACGGCUUACCAAGGCAACGAUUCGUAGCCGACCUGAGAGGGUGAUCGGCCACACUGGAACUGAGACACGGUCCAGACUCCUACGGGAGGCAGCAGUAGGGAAUCUUCCGCAAUGGGCGAAAGCCUGACGGAGCAACGCCGCGUGAGUGAUGAAGGUCUUCGGAUCGUAAAACUCUGUUAUUAGGGAAGAACAAACGUGUAAGUAACUGUGCACGUCUUGACGGUACCUAAUCAGAAAGCCACGGCUAACUACGUG
rnacentral:rRNA from 1 species